rnacentral:lncRNA from 1 species
UGCUCACGUCUUCUAACAGAGCCCCAAAACCUAAGAGAAUUCAUCCACUUCACGCUAUAGUAGCUGCCUUGAAUCUCUCCAACAUCACUUUUAAUGGCGAAUCCAGGUAUAGUUGUAACGUCAUAGUUUUUUUUUUUUUUUGAUUGAUUGAUGUAUGCGAUUAUGAUAUUGAAGAAUGAAGUUGUAUAAUUAUAUAUAAUAAUAUACUUCUGAAAUUCUAUACCUUAAUAUCAAUGAUUUUUUUGUUCUUUUUUAAAUAGUAAUAGCAAAUACGAUUAUUUCAUGUAUUUUCUUGAUUAUUUCAUUAAUAAUCUGUUUUGAGUUUAAGUUCAUUAAUGUACUUGUAUUUAUUCAUGCAGGGAAU